rnacentral:rRNA from 1 species
UGGUUGUUCAAGUCUGUCGUGAAACCUCCAGGCUCAACCUGGAGACGCCACCCGAUACUGCUGUGGCUAGAGUCCAGUAGGGGAGCAUGGAAUUCCUGGUGUAGCGGUGAAAUGCGCAGAUAUCAGGAGGAACACCAGUGGCGAAGGCGGUGCUCUGGGCUGGAACUGACACUGAGGAGCGAAAGCGUGGGGAGCGAACAGG